rnacentral:rRNA from 1 species
AUUGAACGCUGGCGGCAGGCCUAACACAUGCAAGUCGAGCGGAUGAAGGGAGCUUGCUCCUGGAUUCAGCGGCGGACGGGUGAGUAAUGCCUAGGAAUCUGCCUGGUAGUGGGGGAUAACGUCCGGAAACGGGCGCUAAUACCGCAUACGUCCUGAGGGAGAAAGUGGGGGAUCUUCGGACCUCACGCUAUCAGAUGAGCCUAGGUCGGAUUAGCUAGUUGGUGGGGUAAAGGCCUACCAAGGCGACGAUCCGUAACUGGUCUGAGAGGAUGAUCAGUCACACUGGAACUGAGACACGGUCCAGACUCCUACGGGAGGCAGCAGUGGGGAAUAUUGGACAAUGGGCGAAAGCCUGAUCCAGCCAUGCCUCGUGUGUGAAGAAGGUCUUCGGAUUGUAAAGCACUUUAAGUUGGGAGGAAGGGCAGUAAGUUAAUACCUUGCUGUUUUGACGUUACCAACAGAAUAAGCACCGGCUAACUUCGUG